AAAUCUGAAGUUAAACUUAUCCUAGAAAGAAUUGAAUGUAGCCAUAAUACUAAUAUUUUCUUCUCUUUUUUAUACAAUUUUAGCAAAUCGGUCUUUACAAUAGUAACUUAACAUCCUCGCAGAUAUAAGCAAACAAAGAUCUAAUGCCUUCAUGCUCAACAAAUUGAAAUGGUAGAUCAUGCUUAAUAAUUGCAAAUGUUAGCAAUUCACGAAAUUUUUCGAGAUCAAAUUUAGUAGAAUGCAUUGACACGGAACCUUCAAAUUAUGAUAAGAUUAUUUGUCCUAUGUCACGAUUCUUUCUACAACCCUCUAUAUGAUAUUUCAGAUUUUUGGUCCCAACCUUACUGCCAUAUAGAUAUUCUAUACCACACUUCUUGCACUUACAUCUUUGAGUUGCCUCGUUUGUAUGAAAGAACUGAUAAAUAGGUGAAGUUGGUUUUCUUUUACGUUUGCUUUGUGCAAAUUCACCCACUACAAUCGUAUUAGAACCUAAAGGUGUAAAUUCAUUAGACUUAUCAUCGUCACUCUCCAACUCCUCAUUCACAUUGAACACUUUGUCCAUCAAUAUAAUAUAAUUUAAAAUUAUAUUAGAAGAGCAAUCUAGAAAGAAAAUGAUUGGCUUUGAGGAGUAAUUUAUAAAUAUGUCCAAACAUGAUUAAAGAAAUUAGUAAUCUUAAAGAAAUGAAAGAAAUAUUUAAGAAACUAACACACAUAACCAGCAAACAUUUAGAAAAGCAAACAUGGGAAGAGGAAGAAGAGGCUCAGACUCGUCAUUUAAUUUUCAGCUAAAUCAAAACGUUUGCAAUCGGUGCCUGCAUAAGUAGGCCAUCCAAGAUUGCAUGCCUGGCAUAAAAAAUAGCUGAUUCUUGCUUCACAAAUUAGCAAAAACUGAUCCAAGAAUCAUCCUAGCCUCUUCAUACAAACAUAAAAACAAAGAAGGAAAGAGGAAGAGGAGGCUCAGAGUCAUCAUUUUAUUUGCAGCUAAAUCAAAAUGGUUGCAAUCGGUUGCCUGCAAAAGCAGGCCAUCCAAGAUUGCUUACUGUCAGAAAUAGCUGAUUCUUGCUUCAUAAAUCACCAAAAACUCAUCCAAGAAUCAUCCCAGCCUCUAAAUACAACAUAGAAGUAAUGUCAUAACUGCAGAAUUUGGG
rnacentral:lncRNA from 1 species